rnacentral:rRNA from 1 species
GUAGGUGGCAAGCGUUGUCCGGAAUUAUUGGGCGUAAAGCGCGCGCAGGCGGUUCUUUAAGUCUGAUGUGAAAGCCCACGGCUCAACCGUGGAGGGUCAUUGGAAACUGGAGAACUUGAGUACAGAAGAGGAAAGCGGAAUUCCACGUGUAGCGAUGAAAUGCGUAGAGAUGUGGAGGAACACCAGUGGCGAAGGCGGCUUUCUGGUCUGUAACUGACGCUGAGGCGCGAAAGCGUGGGGGAGCAAACAGGAUUAGAUACCCUGGUAGUCCACGCCGUAAACGAUGAGUGCUAAGUGUUAGGGGGUUUCCGCCCCUUAGUGCUGCAGCUAACGCAUUAAGCACUCCGCCUGGGAGUACGGCCGCAAGGCUG